rnacentral:ncRNA from 1 species
GUGAGCCGUGUAAUAGGCGACCAUUUUGCGCGGUUCGGGGGGCACUUGAGUCAGCCGCUGGCGCCCGACUGUGUCUUGACCCUAU